rnacentral:lncRNA from 1 species
UUUUUGUAUGUUAUUCAUAUAAGGCUCAAAAUCUCACAAGGUUAAUUGAUCUACCACAAAUGAUGUACAAUUUAGAAUUUAGUCAUACCUAUCAUACUAAAAAUGUAUAGCCAAUUUUUGACAUCACACCACAAGACUUUAGUCAAGAGAACUAAGAAAAAUACUCAUAAUUGUAACUCAAAAACCAAAGGAAAAAGCAUGCAAUUUUUUUUUAAGAAAACAAACAAAAACCAAAAUAGAGAAAAACUGAAAACAAAACAAAGAAAACAAAACAAAUAAAUGGUUCCCUCCCCACACUUAAAACAUACAUUGUCCUCAAUGAAAGAUCAUAAAUAUAAAAUAA